UCCUCUGUCUUUAGUUCUAGAACCCCUGAUCUCCUAGCAACGAGGCUGGCGGAACCUCCGCAGGUUUUAUAGCGGCCGGUAGCGACACGGAGCCGGCUCCCCCUUUUCCAGCCUUCCUCCCCAUCUCCCAUUCCCCGUCCCCCACGACCUAUACCAGAGGUCCUUAGGCCUCCACGUCUCCCCUUCUGCCUAGUAGCCCAAGGUUUCCACCCAUCUGCCAGGGGGAUGGCGUCCACUCCGAUGGGGAAUGAAGGGGAGAAGAAGAGCAGCUGGCCGUCUCAAGCUGCACCCUCCUUGAGAGGAGGUCCGGCUUCGUUGUCUCGCUCUGAGGAAUACCUGUCCCGGAUCAGUGCAGAACUCACGGAGGAGGCUUUGUGCACUGCUUGUUGCCACUUGAACCCUGUGCCCAUCAAAAAAAAACAGACACAAGACCAAGCGACUCAGAUAUCCAAACGUGCAUUCUUCACCAAGACCUGAGGCACAGAUACCCGAAACCGUACCUGCAGCAAGGCACACCCCCUGCCAACUCCUCGUGAAAAGAACAUGCCUCAAAACUCCUCUUUUGCCACUCGUUAACCACUUCUGUUUGUGGGAACCUCCUGGUCAUGACCAGCAGCAUCCCGAAGCCUUCAAAGUGUUCUGGAUUCAUCACACAACCCUCCAACCUCAGCCAGCAAGGACACCACCAGGAAUGAAAGCGCUUUAAUAAAGAGACAGGGAUCGUUCCCUCCCCCAG